rnacentral:rRNA from 1 species
CCUACGGGAGGCAGCAGUGAGGAAUAUUGGUCAAUGGCCGGAAGACUGAACCAGCCAAGCCGCGUGAAGGACGAAGGUGCCAAGCAUUGUAAACUUCUUUUGUCAAGGAACAAAAACAGGCUCGAGAGCCUGACCGAGGGUACUUGAAGAAAAAGCAUCGGCUAACUCCGUGCCAGCAGCCGCGGUAAUACGGAGGAUGCGAGCGUUAUCCGGAUUUAUUGGGUUUAAGGGGUGCGUAGGCGGGCUGUUAAGUCAGCGGUAAAAGCCCGGGGCUCAACCCCGGCGAGCCGUUGAAACUGGCAGUCUCGAGUUGGCGAGAGGUAUGCGGAAUGCGCGGUGUAGCGGUGAAAUGCUUAGAUAUUGCGCAGAACUCCGAUUGCGAAGGCAGCAUACCGGCUGCGAUCUGACGCUGAGGCACGAAAGCGUGGGUAUCGAACAGGAUUAGAUACCCCAGUAGUC